GGUACAUCCGCAGAAUGUGGUGCCUUGAUUUAAAACAAUGCUUCUCACCCACACGGCACAUGUUGGAGUCUUUUAGCUGAACAUUUCUCUUAACUGGGGCCAUGCAGAGGAUGAGACAGGCAAGACCCCUGCUCUCAUGGAUCAUAGAUUCCAGAGGGGGAGUUGGACAAGCAAGAAGUGCAUGCACCAGGUAAGUUCAGACCAUAAUAAGUGCUAUGAAAAAAGAAAGCAGAUGGCAAGAUAGAGAGGGAUGUGGGUG
rnacentral:lncRNA from 1 species